UACAGAGGGGGCAAGCGUUGUUCGGAAUUACUGGGCGUAAAGGGCGCGUAGGCGGCCUGUUAAGUCGAACGUGAAAUCCCCAGGCUCAACCUGGGAACUGCGUCCGAUACUGGCAGGCUUGAAUCCGGGAGAGGGAUGCGGAAUUCCAGGUGUAGCGGUGAAAUGCGUAGAUAUCUGGAGGAACACCGGUGGCGAAGGCGGGUCUCUGGACAGUUCCUGACGCUGAAGCACGAAGGCCAGGGGAGCAAACGGG
rnacentral:rRNA from 1 species